rnacentral:misc_RNA from 1 species
GAUGAAGAACGUAGCGAAAUGCGAUACUUGGUGUGAACUGCAGAAUCCCGUGAACCAUCGAGUCUUUGAACGCAAGUUGCGCCCGAAGCCAUUAGGCCGAGGGCACGCCUGCCUGGGCGUCACACGUCGUUGCCCCCCCAUCUACUCCUUCGGGAUUGCGGGGGGCGGAUGAUGGCCUCCCGUGCGCCUCGCCGCGCGGUUGGCAUAAAUGCCAAGUCCUCGGCGACGCACGCCACGACAAUCGGUGGUUGCGAAACCUCGGUUGCCCGUCGUGUGCGGUCGUCGCGCAUCGAGGGCUCGAAAAAAUUGCCGGGUUCCGGCUCGGCUUUCAACGCGACCCCAGGUCAGGCGGGGUUACCCGCUGAAUUUAAGCAUAUCAAUAAGCGGAGGA